CUACUGACCUGGCAGGGAAGAUACUAUGAUCAAGUAAAACAUUUUUCCUCGGCCAGUCUCUCCAUAGAAUUCUGGGUGUGCAGAACCCUGUGGUUUUUCCAAAUGUGGAAAACUCAGCUGCAUAAUCUGAGGUAGUAGGUGGCUACAUUCAAAUUUUAUCCUG